rnacentral:rRNA from 1 species
GAUGAACGCUGGCGGCGUGCCUAAUACAUGCAAGUCGAGCGAAUGGAUUAAGAGCUUGCUCUUAUGAAGUUAGCGGCGGACGGGUGAGUAACACGUGGGUAACCUGCCCAUAAGACUGGGAUAACUCCGGGAAACCGUGGCUAAUACCGGAUAACAUUUUGAACAGCAUGGUUCGAAAUUGAAAGGCGGAUUCGGCUGUCACUUAUGGAUGGACCCCGGUCGCAUUAGCUAGUUGGUGAGGUAACGGCUCACCAAGGCAACGAUGCGUAGCCGACCUGGGAGGGUGAUCGGCCACACUGGGACUGAGACACGGCCCAGACUCCUACGGGAGGCAGCAGUAGGGAAUCUUCCGCAAUGGACGAAAGUCUGACGGAGCAACGCCGCGUGAGUGAUGAAGGCUUUCGGGUCGUAAAACUCUGUUGUUAGGGAAGAACAAGUGCUAGUUGAAUAAGCUGGCACCUUGACGGUACCUAACCGGAAAGCCACGGCUAACUACGUGCCAGCAGCCGCGGUAA